UACAGAGGGGGCAAGCGUUAUUCGGAAUUAUUGGGCGUAAAGGGCGCGUAGGCGGUUUUUUAAGUCGGAUGUGCAAUCCCCAGGCUCAACCUGGGAACUGCAUCCGAGACUGGAAGGCUAGAGUACUGGAGAGGGUGGUGGAAUUCCUCGUGUAGCGGUGAAAUGCGUAGAGAUGAGGAGGAACACCAGUGGGGAAGGCGGCCAGCUGGACAGUAACUGACGCUGAGGUGCGAAAGCGUGGGGAGCAACCAGG
rnacentral:rRNA from 1 species